AAGUGCGAUAAGCAAUGCGAAUUGCAGAAUUCCGCGAGUCAUCAGAUCUUUGAACGCAAAUGGCGCCGGAGGGAUAUCCUUCUGGCAUGUCUGUUUCAGUGUCUGAGAGGUUUCACCAACAUCUUAAUGUGAUUGACAGCAGCAGCAGCAGCAAGCAAUUGUUGUGGUUGGUGUUGUCUCUCAUGAAAGAUGCGCGAGUGGAUCUUUCGGUCCAAUGAAGUGGUCACAUCACUCGUAUGUGAUUUCAUUGGGAGCACCGAAUUAUCCGCCAUGCUCGCGGUGUCAUCAUAUAAUAUAUGACGAAAGCAAGAAAGAAAGAAAGAGCUUCUUUCUUCUUCUUCUUCUUUGGUUGUAUUUUUUUUCUCUCUCUACACCCUGCAUCUGAGAUAGGCAAGAUCACCCGCUGAACUUAAGC
rnacentral:misc_RNA from 1 species